UACGGAGGGUGCAAGCGUUAUCCGGAUUCACUGGGUUUAAAGGGUGCGUAGGCGGGUAAGUAAGUCCGUGGUGAAAUCCUGCAGCUUAACUGCAGAACUGCCGUGGAUACUAUUUAUCUUGAAUGUUGUUGAGGUGAGUAGAAUAUGUCAUGUAGCGGUGAAAUGCUUAGAGAUGACAUAGAAUACCGAUUGCGAAGGCAGCUCGCUAAACAAAUAUUGACGCUGAGGCACGAAAGCGUGGGUAGCAAACAGG
rnacentral:rRNA from 1 species